UACGAAGGGGGCUAGCGUUGUUCGGAAUUACUGGGCGUAAAGCGCGCGUAGGUGGUUUGUUAAGUUGGAUGUGAAAUCCCCCGGGCUCAACCUGGGAACUGCAUCCAAAACUGGCAAGCUAGAGUAUGGUAGAGGGUGGUGGAAUUUCCUGUGUAGCGGUGAAAUGCGUAGAUAUAGGAAGGAACACCAGUGGCGAAGGCGACCACCUGGACUGAUACUGACACUGAGGUGCGAAAGCGUGGGGAGCAAACAGG
rnacentral:rRNA from 1 species